AGCAGCCGCGGUAAUUCCAGCUCCAAUAGCGUAUAUUAAAGUUGUUGCAGUUAAAAAGCUCGUAGUUGAAUUUCGGGGUUAGUAGGUUGGUCAUGCCUCUGGUAUGUACUGGUCUCACUGAUUCCUCCUUCCUGAUGAGCCGUAAUGCCAUUAAUUUGGUGUUGCGGGGAAUUUGGACUGUUACUUUGAAAAAAUUAGAGUGUUUAAAGCAAGCUAACGCUUGAAUACAUUAGCAUGGAAUAAUGAAAUAGGACGUUCGAUCCUAUUUUGUUGGUUUCUAGGAUUGACGUAAUGAUUAAUAGGGAUAGUUGGGGGCAUUAGUAUUCAAUUGUCAGAGGUGAAAUUCUUGGAUUUAUUGAAGACUAACUACUGCGAAAGCAUUUGCCAAGGAUGUUUUCAUUAGUCAAGAACGAAAGUUAGGGGAUCGAAGACGAUCAGAUACCGUCGUAGUCUUAACCAUAAACUAUGCCGACUAGGGGAUCGGAUGAUGUUAAUUUUUUAAUGACUCA
rnacentral:rRNA from 1 species